ACAGCACCAAACAUGCCAACUUUCAGUUCACACAGGGAAAGCAACAUUCAAUAUUCAUAACUGCAAGUCAGUGGCCUCACAAUUUAGCUGAUCUUGAUGAGCUCGUGAAUUCUGGCUGGGAAGGGAGAGUCGAAGAGGCUACUGAAAGUCAGCACCAGCUUUUUCUCAUGUGUCCAUGUCAAGUUCAACAAAUGGCAAAGAAGUGAGAUGACAAAAAGGUGAGGACAACAACCUUUGCCGGGGUCAUACUCUCACUUAGUACACCACCACCAGCUGACUCAUCACCUCUCAAACAACGAAAGCCAAGAAAAAAACAGAAAAGCCCAUUCUGGCAGAUAUAACAUCUCAAGCUUCAUAAUCUGCCCUGGACUGGCUCUAAUCUGGUUUGGGUUUCUGCUGUUUGAGUCCCCAGAAGAGUGCUGACUCACUGUUCCCCUUUAGACUACCAGCAUCAAACUCAAAUAAUAAUGAAGGCCAGUAGGCCUUACAUAAGGAUCCUUGUGGGCUGACUUACUGACUUGUUGACUUAGAGAACCACACAUUU
rnacentral:lncRNA from 1 species